ACGGGAGGCAGCAGUGGGGAAUAUUGGGCAAUGGACGAAAGUCUGACCCAGCGACGCCGCGUGAGGGAAGAAGGUCUUCGGAUUGUAAACCUUAGUCAACAGGGAAGAAGAAAGUGACGGUACCUGUGGAGGAAGCCACGGCUAACUACGUGCCAGCAGCCGCGGUAAUACGUAGGGGGCAAGCGUUAUCCGGAUUUACUGGGUGUAAAGGGAGCGUAGACGGUUUUGCAAGUCUGAAGUGAAAUGCCGGGGCUCAACCCCGGAACUGCUUUGGAAACUGUAGGACUAGAGUGCAGGAGAGGUAAGUGGAAUUCCUAGUGUAGCGGUGAAAUGCGUAGGUAUUAGGAGGAACACCAGUGGCGAAGGCGGCUUACUGGACUGUAACUGACGUUGAGGCUCGAAAGCGUGGGGAGCAAACAGGAUUAGAUACCCUGGUA
rnacentral:rRNA from 1 species